rnacentral:rRNA from 1 species
CCUUUGACGUUAGCGGCGGACGGGUGAGUAACACGUGGGUAACCUACCUAUAAGACUGGGAUAACUUCGGGAAACCGGAGCUAAUACCGGAUAAUAUUUCGAAACCGNCAUGGUUAGAUAGUGAAAGGUGGUUUUGCUAUCACUUAUAGAUGGACCCGCGCCGUAUUAGCUAGUUGGUAAGGUAACGGCUUUACCAAGGCGACGAUACGUAGCCGACCUGAGAGGGUGAUCGGCCACACUGGAACUGAGACACGGUCCAGACUCCUACGGGAGGCAGCAGCC